CCAGUAGUCAUAUGCUUGUCUCAAAGAUUAAGCCAUGCAUGUCUAAGUAUAAGCUGCUUAUACUGUGAAACUGCGAAUGGCUCAUUAAAUCAGUUAUAGUUUAUUUGAUGGUACCUUACUACUCGGAUAACCGUAUAGAAUUAAUGCGGUAGUGGCUGGGUCAAACCGGCUGCUAGUGGGGCUUGCCCUGCGACACUGUCAAAUUGCCGGGAAAUCCUGCUAUGCUUGUGGUACCGUUGGGGUGAUGAAAGCUACCUCAACACUGCUGGGGAGACUCGGCAGGCAUGGUAACAACCCACAAGAUAGGGACAACCGGCAGCCAAGCCCUAAGGCCUCGGCUAUGGGUGCAGUUCACAGACUAAAUGGCAGUGGGCCUGCAAAGGCUUAAGAUAUAGCCGGUCCACUCCGAGAGGAGAGCCUGUAGGAGGAACCUCUACGAGGCGAGAGCUUACAGGGGCCUGUGUAGUAGGCAACGCAGCAAUGCGUUGCCGGCAGCUGCCUUCAGGCUGGAGUAAACGAGUAAUUCUAGAGCUAAUACGUGCGCACAACCCGACUUCUGGAAGGGUCGUAUUUAUUAGAUCAAAGACCGACCGGCUUGCCGACCCUCGGUGAAUCAUGAUAACUUCACGAAUCGCAUGGCCUUCGUGCCGGCGAUGUUUCAUUCAAAUUUCUGCCCUAUUAACUUUCGAUGGUAAGAUAGAGGCUUACCAUGGUGCCGAUGGGUGACGGGGAAUUAGGGUUCGAUUCCGGAGAGGGAGCCUGAGAAACGGCUACCACAUCCAAGGAAGGCAGCAGGCGCGCAAAUUACCCAAUCCCGACACGGGGAGGUAGUGACAAGAAAUAACAAUACUUGGCUUUUACGAGUCCGGUAAUUGGAAUGAGUACAAUCUAAACCCCUUAACGAGGAUCCAUUGGAGGGCAAGUCUGGUGAACUAGCUGUUGACGCCAGAGAUAGUAGGGCAGCAAGUUUGCUGCUAUGCCUGCUAGUCGAGCAGCCACACAACUAGGUCGGGUGGGCUGCCGGCGAGGUGACCUGGUACGGGGAAGGCCUUCAAGCCCGGAAGGGUUCGGCUAAUCCCGUGGCGAGGCUGAUGAGAGUGAUCCCAUCAAGCCCGUCGUAACGCACGGUAAGGCACCGGGUAGCUUGCUGAAAAGUUACCUCAAGGGACGUGCUAAACCCACACGAUGACAAAGUGUGCUCCGAACAAUAGCUCCCGAUCAGCAAAGGUUUGGAGGGGCAACAGUGCUUAGAGGAAAUGCUCUGCACUGCCCGGUAGAUUUGGCCAGCAGCCGCGGUAAUUCCAGCUCCAAUAGCGUAUAUUUAAGUUGCUGCAGUUAAAACGCUCGUAGUCGGUCUUCGGGAGGACUGCUUCGGUUCGCCUUGUGUGAUACUGUCGCAGUCCUCUUUACUGCCGGUGCCUGGCUCCUGGGCUUCACUGUCCGGGACUAGAAGUCGGCAUUGUUACUGUGAGAAAAUUGGAGUGUUCAAAGCAAGCAAACGCUAUGCACACUUUAGCAUGGAAUAACGAUUAUUGGACUCGCGUCCAGUCGUUGGUCUAUGGUCUGCGAGUAACGACCAAUGGGGGCGAUCGGGGGCAUUCGUAUUGCAGUGCUAGAGGUGAAAUUCUUGGAUUUCUGCAAGACGAACAGCUGCGAAAGCGUUUGCCAAGGGCGCUUUCGUCGAUCAAGAACGAAAGUUGGGGGCUCGAAGACGAUUAGAUACCGUCCUAGUCUCAACCAUAAACGAUGCCGACUAGGGAUCAGCGAGGGUUCAAUCAACGACCUCGCUGGCACCUCAUGAGAAAUCAAAGCGUUUGGGUUCCGGGGGGAGUAUGGUCGCAAGGCUGAAACUUAAAGGAAUUGACGGAAGGGCACCACCAGGCGUUACAUUAGCUCUAGCGCCAGUAACCCAGCAAUGGGUUGCUAGUCUCUGUUACAGGGGCAAGACCGUCAAAUUGCUCGGAAGUCCUAAAGCCAUGCUUACCAAGCUGCGUGUGAAAGCAGGCAGUGGCCCAGGUGAACAAGCCUGGGGUACGGUGACAACAGCAUGGAUAUUGCAAUGGAUGAUGAGCAGCCAAGCCCUAAAGGCACCAAAGUGCCCACGGGUGCAGUUCACAGACUAAGUGGCGGUCGGCUGAUGUUUGAACGUCAGCUUAAGAUAUAGUCGGUCCCCGCUGAGAGGCGGUCCUUGGGAGGACGUUGUGCUUUUCACAACUGAGAGCCCAAGGAGGAGAGACAAAGUACAGCAUUAGGCAACUAGCGCUGGGCUCUUAUCACGGCCUUCUCUCCGGAGCAAACGGGAGCCUGUGGCUUAAUUUGACUCAACACGGGAAAACUUACCAGGUCCAGACAUAGUGAGGAUUGACAGAUUGACAGCUCUUUCUUGAUUCUAUGGGUGAACACAGUGUGUUUUCAGCACCUACUGCCCAUCAAAGCAGCUGUCCGGCUAAUCACCGGGGAAAGCAGGCUGCUAGUUGGCACUUGCCCGCUAUGGCGAGGGCAGGCUGUCGGCAAGACCAUCGAAUUGCGGGGACACCCUUAGAGACUGUGCUACCAAGCUGUUUUCCGAAAGGUGCAGUGGCCGGGGUAAUGACCUAGGGUAUGGUAACAACGCACAGGAUUGGGCAAUCCGCAGCCAAGCUCCUAACUGCUGCUGUUAGCAAGCACAUGGAGAAGGUUCAGAGACUAGGUGGUGGUCGGUUCCUUGACCGGGAGCUUAAGAUAGAGUCCGUCCGCACCGAGAGGUGUACUUGAGAGGAAAGCCCUAGCCGGGCCGGAGCUCAAGUGUGAUGUGCAAUGCCGCAUCAUGGAUACAACGGGUGGUGCAUGGCCGUUCUUAGUUGGUGGGUUGCCUUGUCAGGUUGAUUCCGGUAACGAACGAGACCUCAGCCGCUAAAUAGUCACUUCCAGUUCGCUGGUCGGUAGACUUCUUAGAGGGACUUUCACCGUCUAGGUGAAGGAAGCGUGAGGCGAUAACAGGUCUGUGAUGCCCUUAGAUGUUCUGGGCCGCACACGCGCUACACUGACGCAACCAACGAGCACUCCUUGGCCGGAAGGUCUGGGUAAUCUCUAAUCUGCGUCGUGAUGGGGAUAGAUUAUUGCAAUUAUUAAUCUUCAACGAGGAAUGCCUAGUAGGUGCAAGUCAUCAGCUUGUGCCGAUUACGUCCCUGCCCUUUGUACACACCGCCCGUCGCUCCUACCGAUUGGGUGUGCUGGUGAAGCGUUCGGAUUGGCUUGCUCGGCGGGAAACCGCUGAGUUUGCCGAGAAGUUCUCUAAACCCUCCCACCUAGAGGAAGGAGAAGUCGUAACAAGG
rnacentral:rRNA from 1 species